rnacentral:rRNA from 1 species
CAGUCGCCGCGGUAAUACGGAGGAUCCAAGCGUCAUCCGGAAUCAUUGGGUUUAAAGGGUCCGUAGGCGGUCUUGUAAGUCAGUGGUGAAAGCCCAUCGCUCAACGGUGGAACGGCCAUUGAUACUGCAGGACUUGAAUUAUUGGGAAGUAACUAGAAUAUGUAGUGUAGCGGUGAAAUGCUUAGAGAUUACAUGGAAUACCAAUUGCGAAGGCAGGUUACUACCAAUUGAUUGACGCUGAUGGACGAAAGCGUGGGUAGCGAACAGGAUUAGAUACCCCCGUAGUCCCUGUCUCUUAUAC